CCGUGUUUGGCAACAAGCCCUCUGGUCUGAAAGUCAUGGUUCCCCACUGGCAGUGAGUCGGCAGAGGGAAAAGCCGCGAUGAAUCAAUCCCUGGCCUCACAGGAAGCCUGCCUUCCUGUCAACAAAGAACACAGUGAAAAGCCGUCGACAUCGGGCCAGAGGGCCACCGCCUGGCCCCUGUCACAAGGCUCAGACAGAGAGAAUCUUGUCAUUGAUGGGAGGGAAAAAUAGGAGAGCCCACCCAACUGUGUUUGCACCUGGUCCCCAAGAGGCCCCUCCUGCUCGGGGUGCGCACCCCCCCGUGGGGACAGCUGGGAAGAUGAGGCUGAGGCCCCUCGAAUCUCAGUUUCAAUAACGGGCCAGAUAGUUCCCCACAAACCCACUUGACACUCAAAGCAGAAGUUCUUCAGCAUUUGGCAACCCAGUUCCCUUUGAGCAUCUGGUAGUCGGAUGGUUAAGCAGUCACCAUGGAGAGCAGCAAAGGUGAUGGCUGAGUCUACCUGAGGCAUCCAAGACAGCAUUCCUGAGGACCUGAAGAGCAAUUGGGAAGCAAAUGCUCUGUAAGAUGACCGGCUGUGCGCGUUACUCAGACAUCAGUGUCAGCAGCUGCUCUUUGGCCACUUACAAGACGUCCCUUCUGUGCUCAGGGAUGCGGGAGCCGGAGCACAA